rnacentral:rRNA from 1 species
UACGUAGGGGGCAAGCGUUGUCCGGAUUUAUUGGGCGUAAAGAGCGUGUAGGCGGCUUUACAGGUCCGUUGUGAAAACUCGAGGCUCAACCUCGAGACGCCGGUGGAAACCGUAAAGCUAGAGUCCGGAAGAGGAGAGUGGAAAUUCCUGGUGUAGCGGUGAAAUGCGCAGAUAUCAGGAAGAACACCCGUGGCGAAGGCGGCUCUCUGGGACGGUAUUGACGCUGAGACGCGAAAAGCGUGGGGAGCAAACAGG